AAAUGAAUUGACGGGGGCCCGCACAAGCGGUGGAGCAUGUGGUUCAAUUCGACGCAACGCGAAGAACCUUACCUGGGCUUGAACCGCUACCGACGGCGGCGGAGACGCCGCUUCCCGCAAGGGCGGUAGCAGAGGCGCUGCAUGGCUGUCGUCAGCUCGUGUCGUGAGAUGUUGGGUUAAGUCCCGCAACGAGCGCAACCCUUGCCCCCAGUUGCCAGCGGGUCAUGCCGGGAACUCUGGGGGGACCGCCCGGGUCAACCGGGAGGAAGGUGGGGAUGAUGUCAAGUCCUCAUGGCCCUUAUGUCCAGGGCCACACACGUGCUACAAUGGGCGGUACAGACCGGAGCCAAGCCGCGAGGCGGAGCGAAUCGGAGAAAGCCGCCCUCAGUUCGGAUUGCGGCCUGCAACUCGGCCGCAUGAAGCUGGAAUCGCUAGUAAUCGCGCAUCAGAACGGCGCGGUGAAUACGUUCCCGGGCCUUGUACACACCGCCCGU
rnacentral:rRNA from 1 species